AUUGAACGCUAGCGGGAUGCCUUACACAUGCAAGUCGAACGGAGUGGCGAACGGGUGAGUAAUGUAUAGGAACGUGCCCAGUAGCGGGGGAUAACUACGCGAAAGCGUAGCUAAUACCGCAUAAUAUUGGAACGGCCGAUAUCGGAUUGGCUUGAUGGUGGGGUAACGGCUCCCCAAGGCGCCGAUCCGUAGCUGGUUUGAGAGGACGACCAGCCACACUGGUACUGAGACACGGUCCAGACUCCUACGGGAGGCAGCAGUGGGGAAUGUUGGACAAUGGGGGAAACCCUGAUCCAGCCAUCCCGCGUGUGCGAUGAAGUCCUUCGGGUUGUAAAGCACUUUUGGCAGGAAAGCGGUACCUGCAGAAUAAGCACCGGCUAACUACGUGCCAGCCGCCGCGGUAAUAC
rnacentral:rRNA from 1 species